CGAGGAUUCCCCUAGUAACGGCGAGUGAACGGGGAAAAGCCCAGCGCUGAAUCCUUCGGCCACAGGUCGCUUGGAAUUGUAGCGUAUAGGUGCGGCUGUCCGUCUGUUUCGCUUACCCAAAGUCCCCUUGAGCGGGGCUACUGUCCAAAGAAGGUGCUAGACCUGUACGGGUGGCGAGACGGUCGGUUGGUUGCUCCUUGGAGUCGGGUUGCCUGGGAUCGCAGCCCAAAGUUGGUGGUAGACCUCAUCUAAGGCUAAAUAUGGCCACGAAACCGAUAGCAAACAAGUACCGUGAGGGAAAGUUGCAAAGAACUUUGAAGAGAGAGUUCAAGAGGGCGUGAAACCGCUGAGAUUGAAACGGAUAGAGUUGACGGAACUCGGCUGCAUUCACUUGAUCUGCCUAGCGGCCCGACGGGACUGGCUUCCUCGAUGAGGGCGGUUCUGUUGGUAGCUGUUGGGUGCUUGAUUGAUGUAUUUGCGGCCGGUAUGCGCUGAGAGCCUUGUGGUCGCAUGUUGACAAGUGCGUAGUGGACCAUUCCUUCCGGGCGUGGAACCCUCCGCGCUUUGAGGCAUGUUGGCCAUGAGGUUUUGAACGUGAGCGUCUCCGCUAUGGUGCAUCGGCUUUGUCGGGCUGUUGUGGCUGUGGGAUGUCGCAUGCGACGUUCUGUGGUCGGCGAUGGCGUGAUAGAGUGCGGAUGCGUCGAGACGUAUAUCUCGGUGUGAACGUUGACCACCUAUCCGA
rnacentral:rRNA from 1 species